CGUAGGGGCAAGCGUUGUCCGGAUUUAUUGGGCGUAAAGAGCGUGUAGGCGGCCAGAUAGGUCAGCUGUGAAAACUCGAGGCUCAACCUCGAGAUGUCGGCUGAAACCAUCUGGCUAGAGUCCGGAAGAGGAGAAUGGAAUUCCCGGUGUAGCGGUGAAAUGCGCAGAUAUCGGGAAGAACACCCGUGGCGAAGGCGGUUCUCUGGGACGGUACUGACGCUGAGACGCGAAAGCGUGGGGAGCGAACAGGAUUAGAUACCCUGGUAGUCCACGCCGUAAACGAUGGGAACUAGGUGUGGGCGGUGUCGACUCCGUCCGUGCCGAAGCUAACGCAUUAAGUUCCCCGCCUGGGGAGUACGGCCGCAAGGCUA
rnacentral:rRNA from 1 species